rnacentral:rRNA from 1 species
AGUGAACGCUGGCGGCGUGCCUAAUACAUGCAAGUCGAACGGAGAUUAAGUAGCUUGCUAUUUAAUCUUAGUGGCGCACGGGUGAGUAAUAUAUAGCUAACUUGCCCAUUACUAAGGGACAACAGUUGGAAACGACUGCUAAUACCUUAUACUCCGUAUCUAUAUAAGAAGAUACGGGAAAGUUUUUCGGUAAUGGAUAGGGCUAUAUCGUAUCAGCUAGUUGGUAAGGUAAUGGCUUACCAAGGCUAUGACGCGUAACUGGUCGGAGAGGAUGAUCAGUCACACUGGAACUUAGCCACGGUCCAGACUCCUACGGGAGGCAGCAGUAGGGAAUAUUGCUCAAUGGGGGAAACCCUGAAGCAGCAACGCCGCGUGGAGGAUGACACUUUUCGGAGCGUAAACUCCUUUUCUUGGGAAAGAAUUAUGACGGUACCCAAGGAAUAAGCACCGGCUAACUCCGUG